rnacentral:rRNA from 1 species
GUCUAGUAUAAGCAAUUAUACGGCGAAACUGCGAAUGGCUCAUUAUAUAAGUUAUCGUUUAUUUGAUAGCACCUUACUACUUGGAUAACCGUGGUAAUUCUAGAGCUAAUACAUGCUGAAAACCCCGACUUCGGAAGGGGUGUAUUUAUUAGAUUAAAAACCAAUGCCCUCUGGGCUCUCUGGUGAUUCAUGAUAACUUCUCGAAUCGCACGGCCUUGCGCCGGCGAUGGUUCAUUCAAAUUUCUUCCCUAUCAACUUUCGAUGUUUGGGUAGUGGCCAAACAUGGUUGCAACGGGUAACGGAGGGUUAGGGCUCGACCCCGGAGAAGGAGCCUGAGAAACGGCUACUACAUCCAAGGAAGGCAGCAGGCGCGCAAAUUACCCAAUCCCGACUCGGGGAGGUAGUGACAAUAAAUACUGAUACAGGGCUCUUUUGGGUCUUGUAAUUGGAAUGAGUACAAUUUAAAUCCCUUAACGAGGAACAAUUGGAGGGCAAGUCUGGUGCCAGCAGCCGCGGUAAUUCCAGCUCCAAUAGCGUAUAUUAAAGUUGUUGUGGUUAAAAAGCUCGUAGUUGAACCUUGGGCCUGGCUGGCCGGUCCGCCUCACCGCGUGCACUGGUCCGGCCGGGCCUUUCCCUCCGUGGAACCCCAUGCCCUUCACUGGGCGUGGCGGGGAAACGGGACUUUUACUUUGAAAAAAUUAGAGUGCUCCAGGCAGGCCUAUGCUCGAAUACAUUAGCAUGGAAUAAUGAAAUAGGACGUGCGGUUCUAUUUUGUUGGUUUCUAGGACCGCCGUAAUGAUUAAUAGGGACAGUCGGGGGCAUCAGUAUUCAAUUGUCAGAGGUGAAAUUCUUGGAUCAAUUGAAGACUAACUACUGCGAAAGCAUUUGCCAAGGAUGUUUUCAUUAAUCAGGAACGAAAGUUAGGGGAUCGAAGACGAUCAGAUACCGUCGUAGUCUUAACCAUAAACUAUGCCGACUAGGGAUCGGACGAUGUUAUUAUUUGACUCGUUCGGCACCUUACGAGAAAUCAAAGUGCUUGGGCUCCAGGGGGAG